UCAGGAUGAACGCUGGCGGCGUGCUUAACACAUGCAAGUCGAACGAAGCACUUUAUUUGAUUUCCUUCGGGACUGAUUAUUUCGUGACUGAGUGGCGGACGGGUGAGUAACGCGUGGGUAACCUGCCUUGUACAGGGGGAUAACAGUUGGAAACGGCUGCUAAUACCGCAUAAGCGCACAGCAUCGCAUGAUGCAGUGUGAAAAACUCCGGUGGUAUAAGAUGGACUCGCGUUGGAUUAGCUAGUUGGUGAGGUAACGGCCCACCAAGGCGACGAUCCAUAGCCGACCUGAGAGGGUGACCGGCCACAUUGGGACUGAGACACGGCCCAAACUCCUACGGGAGGCAGCAGUGGGGAAUAUUGCACAAUGGGAGAAACCCUGAUGCAGCGACGCCGCGUGGAGGAAGAAGGUCUUCGGAUUGUAAACUCCUGUUGUUGGGGAAGAUAAUGACGGUACCCAACAAGGAAGUGACGGCUAACUACGUGCCAGCAGCCGCGGUAAAACGUAGGUCACAAGCGUUGUCCGGAAUUACUGGGUGUAAAGGGAGCGCAAGCGGGAAGACAAGUUGGAAGUGGAAUCUAUGGGCUCAACCCAUAAACUGCUUUCAAAACUGUUUUUCUUGAGUAGUGCAGAGGUAGGCGGAAUUCCCGGUGUAGCGGUGGAAUGCGUAGGUAUCGGGAGGAACACCAGUGGCGAAGGCGGCCUACUGGGCACCAACUGACGCUGAGGCUCGAAAGUGUGGGUAGCAAACAGGAUUAGAUACCCUGGUAGUCCACACCGUAAACGAUGAUUACUAGGUGUUGGAGGAUUGACCCCUUCAGUGCCGCAGUUAACACAAUAAGUAAUCCACCUAGGGAGUACGACCGCAAGGUUGAAACUCAAGGGAAUUGACGGGGGCCCGCACAAGCAGUGGAGUAUGUGGUUUAAUUCGACGCAACGCGAAGAACCUUACCAAGUCUUGACAUCCCUUGACAGGCAUAGAAAUAUGUUUUCUCUUCGGAGCAAGGAGACAGGUGGUGCAUGGUUGUCGUCAGCUCGUGUCGUGAGAUGUUGGGUUAAGUCCCGCAACGAGCGCAACCCUUAUGGUCAGUUACUACGCAAGAGGACUCUGGCCAGACUGCCGUUGACAAAACGGAGGAAGGUGGGGAUGACGUCAAAUCAUCAUGCCCUUUAUGACUUGGGCUACACACGUACUACAAUGGCGUUAAACAAAGAGAGGCAAGACCGCGAGGUGGAGCAAAACUCAGAAACAACGUCCCAGUUCGGACUGCAGGCUGCAACUCGCCUGCACGAAGUCGGAAUUGCUAGUAAUCGUGGAUCAGCAUGCCACGGUGAAUACGUUCCCGGGUCUUGUACACACCGCCCGUCACACCAUGGGAGUCAGUAACGCCCGAAGUCAGUGACCUAACCGUAAGGAGGGAGCUGCCGAAGGCGGGACCGAUGACUGGGGUGAAGUCGUAACAAGGU
rnacentral:rRNA from 1 species